AUGAGAAAGAGGUAGUUAAGACUUGCAGUGAUGUUUAGAGGCAUUAACACAUGAACAUCACUUUAAGUCUGUGCUAACUCUGCACUCAGU
rnacentral:pre_miRNA from 12 species